rnacentral:rRNA from 1 species
UAAUACAUAAGUAACCUGCCCUAGACAGGGGGAUAACUAUUGGAAAUGAUAGCUAAGACCGCAUAGGUACGGACACUGCAUGGUGACCGUAUUAAAAGUGCCUCAAAGCACUGGUAGAGGAUGGACUUAUGGCGCAUUAGCUGGUUGGCGGGGUAACGGCCCACCAAGGCGACGAUGCGUAGCCGACCUGAGAGGGUGACCGGCCACACUGGGACUGAGACACGGCCCAG